UGCCGUGAAUCUACGGCUCGUCUGAAAUGCCUGAGUGUACCCCGCUUUGCGGCGUAUUCGGUGUGAUAAAUCUUCACCGGAGUUGAUCCUUAGGGGUCGCGUCUGUAAUGAGUGUGGCUCUAUGCUUCCAACCGUCUUCUUAACGAGACAAUCUCUGACAAUUUGACCUCAAAUCGGGUGGGACUACCCGCUGAACUUAA
rnacentral:misc_RNA from 1 species